UCGAGAAUCUUCCGCAAUGGACGAAAGUCUGACGGAGCGACGCCGCGUGGUGGAUGAAGUCCCUCUGGGACGUAAACACCUUUUAUGUGGGAUGAAGUUUUGACAGUACCACACGAAUAAGGGGCUCCUAACUCUGUGCCAGCAGGAGCGGUAAUACAGAGGCCCCAAGCAUUACCCGGAAUUACUGGGCGUAAAGGGUGCGUAGGUGGCGUGAUUAGUCCUUCUUUAAAUUCUUCGGGCUCAACCCGAGGACUCGGAGGGAAACGGUCAUGCUGGAGGAUGUAAGAGGUGUGUGGAACUCACGGUGUAGGGGUGAAAUCCGUUGAUAUCGUGGGGAACACCAAAUGCGAAGGCAGCACACUGGGACAUUCCUGACACUGAGGCACGAAAGCGUGGGUAG
rnacentral:rRNA from 1 species